UACGUAGGGUGCAAACGUUGCUCGGAAUCAUUGGGCGUAAAGCGCACGUAGGCGGCCUUGCAAGUCGGAUGUGAAAUCCCACGGCUCAACCGUGGACGUGCAUCCGAAACUGCUCGGCUCGAGUAUGGAAGAGGGUCGCGGAAUUCCCGGUGUAGAGGUGAAAUUCGUAGAUAUCGGGAGGAACACCAGUGGCGAAGGCGGCGACCUGGGCCAAUACUGACGCUGAGGUGCGAAAGCGUGGGGAGCAAACAGG
rnacentral:rRNA from 1 species